rnacentral:rRNA from 1 species
AGUCACUGCUAUUGGGAUUCGACUAAGCCAUGCGAGUCGAGAGGGUUCGGCCCUCGGCUGACGGCUCAGUAACACGUGGAUAAUCUGCCCUAGAGUGGAGGAUAACCUCGGGAAACUGAGAAUAAUACUCCAUAGGUCUAGAAUGCUGGAAUGCAUCUAGGUUGAAAGCUCCGGCGCUCUAGGAUGAGUCUGCGGACUAUCAGGUUGUAGUCAGGGUAAUGACCUGACUAGCCUACGACGGGUAUGGGUUGUGAGAGCAAUAACCCAGAGACGAUAUCUGAGACACGAUAUCGGGCCCUACGGGGCGCAGCAGGCGCGAAAACUUCACACUGUGCGAAAGCACGAUGAGGGAAUCCCAAGUGCUUACUCGUAAGAGUAAGCUGUUUUUCUGUCUAAAACACAGAGAGAGUAAGAGCUGGGUAAGACGGGUGCCAGCCGCCGCGGUAAUACCUGCAGCUCGAGUGGUGGCCGCUAUUAUUGGGCCUAAAACGUUUGUAGCCGGUUUAGUAAAUGCCCGGGUAAAUUGUGUAGCUCAACUAUACGAAUUCCGGGUAGACUGCUAGGCUUGAGACCGGGAGAAGCUAGAGGUACUCCUGGGGUAGAGGUGAAAUUCUGUAAUCCUAGGGGGACCACCAGUGGCGAAGGCGUCUAGCUAGAACGGGUCUGACGGUGAGGGACGAAGCCCUGGGGCGCAAACCGGAUUAGAUACCCGGGUAGUCCAGGGUGUAAACGCUGCUUGCUUGAUGUUAGUCGAGCUCCGAGCCCGAUUAGUGUCGGAGAGAAGUUGUUAAGCAAGCUGCCUGGGAAGUACGGCCGCAAGACUGAAACUUAAAGGAAUUGGCGGGGGAGCACAGCAACGGGUGGAGCGUGCGGUUU